rnacentral:lncRNA from 1 species
UUUGGAAAUGUAGACUACAUGAAGCCUUGUACUUAAGGAUCCAAUUCUAUUUCUGCACUUUUAUUCAAUAUUGUGACUUUGUGGAGGCUGAAGGUACACCCUCCCUUGUUAUCUCUGCCAGAUUCCUGGCAGCUGCACUUAGGCAAGCUGGCCAGUACAGGGAGGAGUCCCCUAAAUUACAAAACGCAGUGCUUGUCAUCUGAGAAGAAUGAAGCACCCCCAGUCCGCUGACUGAUUGCUAAUCAUCCCCUACACUAGCUUUAUGAGCAGCCGAUUCCUUCCUGUGUGGUUAUCUUCGACCUGCCCAUGCCUGCGCGCUGACUCUCACCUCUCCGACCUGCUCCAGCGGAAGGUUCUCUGCCCCGGGCAAAGCUAUUUGAGCAGGCCAAGAGUUGAAGAAAAAUACCAGACCAAACCAGCUCCUCCAGCAUGAAAGACAAAAGCAAGAAAAGCAAGGUGCAGGGCCACUAGAUGUCACUGCCUUCAAUCUGUUCCACAAACUGCCACUUGCUGGGAGCUGAGAAGCCGGCCAGACAUUUCAGUGCAGGAAGAGCCCUCGCGGCGACAACCGCGAAGAGGACUUCCCGCGAGUGCGUGGGGCUAGAAGCACUUCCAGUGAUUCUUUGCAAGGUUCAAAGUGAAAGUGAACAGACCAGUCAAAGGGAGCUCGCGUUCAGGUUCCUGUUAUUCGGACUAUGCUGGGCCGGGAAGGGCGCACGGAACGGGACCUAUGGCCUACAGACUCACCGCGCCCUCCGUCCCCGCCCACGCCUAGGGUACCAUCUGCCCGCCUGUGCUCUGCGCUGAGUGCCCAGCCAGCCGCAACCCCACAGAUGACCACGACGUUGACCUGCCUGUUUCCACUUUGCAGGAAAGGAGACAGAGUGAGGAGGCCAGCAACAGGCACAAGAGCUCCUUUUUGACGUGGGAUCAGGGAGGCCCCAGGUGGUGGCCGCAGAGGAGCUGUAUUCACCCUGCCUCCUAGUUGGGGCACCACACUAGUUCCAAAUGGGGGAAACUAGGGCAAGACUGGAGCUAAAGGAGCAGGGAAACCUUUGAAUCCAUAACGAAUGCUACACAACUUCCAGAGGCACAUGGCCCAACAGAAAAGCCUCAGAUGGAGUAACAUCUAAAAGGACUGAGUAUUUGGAAACGUGUUCCUUUGGGGCAAAGAUGACACCUCCUAGGUUGAUGCGUGAUUGGCAUCAGCCAGGGCCUGAAUUUAUGUUUCUUAUAAUGGUUUUAUAGUUCUUGAUUAAAUUGUGCAUUUUCUUUUUGCACUGUUCCGCAGUUUUAAUAUUCAUUCCCAUUGUAGCUGGACAUACUCAUCUGCAGUUCAGUUCACAACAGAAAUGAUAAUUUGUGUAGGAGGGAUGACAGCCCAAAAUAGCCCAUUUUCUAUAAUCCAGCUGUAGUUAGAAGGGGCAGAAC